rnacentral:lncRNA from 1 species
AAAAAGACUGCUGAGAUCACAGUCCAUAAAAAGCAUAGUGGGAAGCUGAAUUUUCAACCCUGAAUAUAUUUGCCCAUCAGGUACAAGCUCUUGGAGCAUAUCUGUCUGUAUAAUCACUGAGGAAGUACAAAAAGAAAACCAAAGUUGGCCGGCUCUCCUUUUGUUGGAACACGGUCUACUGUUUAGUUUUGUACGAUGUCAAACAGACACCCCAGCGGACUUUCCAAUUUAUUUGGUGAUGUUUGGAUAUGAGAGCAGAGUAGAUCAACUAGGAUUAGAACUCCCAAGGGCCUUCUUCCUAUUGGAAGAUAUAAAUCCUCUCUCAGGUUAUCAAGGAUUCAUUUGCGGCAGCAGAAUGAAAUGACUUCCACUGGACUUCAUCUGCGCACAGUUUUCAGGAAUCUGUUCACUACAUCCGAUCUUGGAGAGACUUUCUUGAUUGCUGUCUUCUAGCAGACAUGAUUUGACCCAUCAUAUAUUUAAAUCUAUCCUCUAUUAAUCAUAGCCUCAUUUGUUGUAAGCUUUCUUGGUGCCAGGAAUCAUGCUAACUGCUUUACUUAUGUUAUCUCAUUUUAUCCUCUCAACAACACUAAGGUACUUUAAUUUUCCUUCUACUACAGAUGAGGAAACCAAGGCUGAGAGAGAUUAAGUGACUGGAGUGUGGCUACACAGCUCUAUGUUGCAGAAUUAGGAUUUAACCCCUCUUCUGUCUUGGUUGAACACCUGAUUGCACAUACUGUAUUAAAGGGACUUCUAAAAGAGGAUUAUAUUAUUAAUUUUGGGGUAAGUUAAAAUCUGUCCCAAGGGUA